rnacentral:rRNA from 1 species
GACGAACGCUGGCGGCGUGCUUAACACAUGCAAGUCGAACGGUAAGGCCCUUCGGGGUACACGAGUGGCGAACGGGUGAGUAACACGUGGGUGAUCUGCCCUGCACUUCGGGAUAAGCCUGGGAAACUGGGUCUAAUACCGGAUAGGACCACUGCCUGCAUGGGUGGUGGUGGAAAGCUUUUGCGGUGUGGGAUGGGCCCGCGGCCUAUCAGCUUGUUGGUGGGGUGAUGGCCUACCAAGGCGACGACGGGUAGCCGGCCUGAGAGGGUGACCGGCCACACUGGGACUGGGAUACGGCCCAGACUGCUACGGGAGGCAGAGGUGGGGAAUAUUGCACAAUGGGCGCAAGCCUGAUGCAGCGACGCCGCGUGGGGGAUGACGGCCUUCGGGUUGUAAACCUCUUUCAGCACCGACGAAGCGCAAGUGACGGUAGGUGCAGAAGAAGGACCGGCCAACUACGUGCCAGCAGCCGCCGUAA